rnacentral:tRNA from 2 species
GCCCCUAUGGUCUAAUGGAUAGAACAAUCCCCUCCUAAGGGAUAGAUACAGGUUCGAUUCCUGUUAGGGGUGCCA